CGGCAAUUUAGGAUUUAUUUUAUACUUUUAUGAUAAAUAACAAGUGUAGAUUGUAUCGUUUUUGCAGGGUCCUUAGGGAGGGUUCUAAAUCCAGUUGCAUGCUUCCAAAAUUCCCCUUAGAGUGAAUUACUCACUCUACUCUCUUGUCAGCUUUUGUCCACAGAAAAGCUUGUUCCUCAAGGAGUCAGCCCUGAGAUGCACUUCCCCUCAGGGGUACCCUGAGAGGCAUCCUGGCUCAAGGGGAGAUUGAGGGUGCAGUCCACUGUGGUCCCUGGAAAGCUCAAAGGGCUUAGGACUACUUAGUUGCUACUAAGCAACUAGUUGCUUAGGACUACCAUUCAUAGGACUGUGAGACAACUGUUAAUACUUUUCCAUCCUGGCUACUGUUCAGAUAAGGCAAUUUUGGUAUUUUUCAUCAAUUCUGCUAUUCCCAUACCUUCCAGAAUGUACAGUUGUGGUACUCCCCAGAUCAGGCUACUGUCCAGGCUGCAGGUUUGGAGAUGCAAUCAGGGAGUGCCUGCUCAUACUCACCUGUUAUGGACAUUGUCCAUUGACAAUGGAGGACUGAUGUAACAUUAAUCAAUCUUGAACCAUAGCUGACUUGGGGGAAAGGCUACCCCACCACAGAGAUCAAGGGUUACAGCCUGCUGUGAUCCCUGGAGAGCUCAAAUUGGCUUUUCUUCAGUUGCUACAAGUUCAGGUCAUUGGCUCAUAGUCAAACUCAGGUUCCUUACCAUGUUCUGGAACUCUGAUGUGCAAGAAGCAGUCCCAUCAAGGCCUACUGUGGUUUAUAAGCCUGAGCAAGACUUAGAUCAAGUGCGGGAGUAUAGUGAACCCAUCACAGAGCCAAUGCACCAAGCAGUAUCAGACCAACAGGUAGUCACAAUAAUGUUUGAUGCAUGAUGGAGAGUACCACAGGAUUUACAACUGUUACCAGCCUGUUAACUGCAGACUUGUGAGCACUGAGUGCUGGAGCCUGGCUGAAGACUCUUCAGGCACCUGAGACUCCUGGGUCAAGGCUGGAAGCCCCUCUAGAAGAGGAGAAUAUGGAGGUGGAUCAGUUUGAUAUUUUGGUUUAAACAGGUCUAUCAUUCCUAGAGGAAUAAUGUACUGUGUAUGUCAGCUUUACUCCAGGCUUAACAGAGAAAAUACAAAUGUGAUUUGAAUGAAAGAGAAGAAUAAG
rnacentral:lncRNA from 1 species